CUUGCUUACACAUGUUAGUCGAGCGGUGAACCACUUCGGUGGGGAUCAGCGGCGAACGGGUGAGUAACACGUGGGCAACCUGCCCCUAGCACUGGAUAACCCCGGGAAACCGGGGCUAAUACCGGAUAUGACUCUGAGCGGCAUCUCUCGGAGUGGAAAGAUUUAUCGGCUAGGGAUGGGCCCGCGGCCUAUCAGCUUGUUGGUGGGGUAAUGGCCUACCAAGGCGACGACGGGUAGCCGGCCUGAGAGGGCGACCGGCCACACUGGGACUGAGACACGGCCCAGACUCCUACGGGAGGCAGCAGUGGGGAAUAUUGCGCAAUGGGCGAAAGCCUGACGCAGCGACGCCGCGUGAGGGACGAAGGCCUUCGGGUCGUAAACCUCUUUCAGCAGGGACGAAGCGAAAGUGACGGUACCUGCAGAAGAAGCACCGGCUAACUACGUGCCAGCAGCCGCGGUAAUACGUAGGGUGCAAGCGUUGUCCGGAAUUAUUGGGCGUAAAGAGCUCGUAGGCGGCUUGUCACGUCUGCUGUGAAAACUCGGGGCUCAACCCCGAGCCUGCAGUGGAUACGGGCUAGCUAGAGUGCGGUAGGGGAGUCUGGAAUUCCUGGUGUAGCGGUGAAAUGCGCAGAUAUCAGGAGGGACACCGGUGGCGAAGGCGGGACUCUGGACCGAUACUGACGCUGAGGAGCGAAAGCGUGGGGAGCGAACAGGAUUAGAUACCCUGGUAGUCCACGCCGUAAACGUUGGGCGCUAGGUGUGGGGAACUUUCCACGUUCUCCAUGCCGCAGCUAACGCAUUAAGCGCCCCGCCUGGGGAGUACGGCCGCAAGGCUA
rnacentral:rRNA from 1 species